rnacentral:rRNA from 1 species
AUGCACCAGCUCUCACUAUUAGAAAUAGUAGCAAGCAACGAAAAUGAGGUGCUCCAGCUUGAAACUUUGACACUGCCAAACCCUCUUCAGAAGCUCAUUUUUGCAGGGCGAUUUUCGGAAGGAACUUUGAAAUCUCAAUAUUUCUCAAACCAUGGAGAUGCACUUCACACGAUAUCCCUAUACUGUUCCCAGCUCGUGGAGAACCCAUUUCCACGCCUCUCUGAAUUUUUUAGUUUGACCAAAAUAUUUCUUAAAAGGGCGUAUACUGGACAAGAGCUAAACUUCCAUCCAGGGUGGUUCCCGAAUGUGAAGGUUAUUUUCUUGAUGGAUUUGCCACACGUCAACAAAAUACACAUACACGAGGGAACUUUGGUCCUCCUUGAAGAACUUGUGAUUAGUAACCUUGAAGAACUGGAGAGCAUCCCUACAGGCGUUGAAUAUCUGAAAUCCCUCAAAGAGGCAUUCUUUCUUAAAAUGCAUCCUAAUUUCGAAAGGAAUUUUCCAACGACAAAACUAAAUCAUGUCCAGACAGCCCGCUACAGUAUACGAUCCGAAGUGGCAUGA